AUUGAACGCUGGCGGCAGGCCUAACACAUGCAAGUCGAGCGGAUGAAGGGAGCUUGCUCCUGGAUUCAGCGGCGGACGGGUGAGUAAUGCCUAGGAAUCUGCCUGGUAGUGGGGGAUAACGUCCGGAAACGGGCGCUAAUACCGCAUACGUCCUGAGGGAGAAAGUGGGGGAUCUUCGGACCUCACGCUAUCAGAUGAGCCUAGGUCGGAUUAGCUAGUUGGUGGGGUAAAGGCCUACCAAGGCGACGAUCCGUAACUGGUCUGAGAGGAUGAUCAGUCACACUGGAACUGAGACACGGUCCAGACUCCUACGGGAGGCAGCAGUGGGGAAUAUUGGACUAUGGGCGAAUGCCUGAUCCAGCCAUGCCGCGUGUGUGAAGAAGGUCUUCGGAUUCUAAAGCACUUUACGUUGGGAGGAAGGGCAGUAAGUUAAUACCUCGCUGUUUUGACGUUACCAACAGAAUAAGCACCGGCUAACUUCGUG
rnacentral:rRNA from 1 species